UGGGGAAUAUUGCGCAAUGGGCGAAAGCCUGACGCAGCAACGCCGCGUGAGUGAUGAAGGCCUUCGGGUCGUAAAGCUCUGUCGGAGGGAACGAAUGCUCUUGAGGUUAACAGCCUCGGGAGGUGACGGUACCCUCAAAGGAAGCACCGGCUAACUCUGUGCCAGCAGCCGCGGUAAUACAGAGGGUGCAAGCGUUGUUCGGAAUUACUGGGCGUAAAGGGCGCGUAGGCGGCCCUCUAAGUCAGACGUGAAAUCCCCCGGCUUAACCUGGGAACUGCGUCUGAUACUGGAGGGCUUGAGUAUGGGAGAGGGAUGUAGAAUUCCAGGUGUAGCGGUGAAAUGCGUAGAUAUCUGGAGGAAUACCGGUGGCGAAGGCGGCAUCCUGGACCAUUACUGACGCUGAGGCGCGAAAGCUAGGGGAGCAAACGGGAUUAGAUACCCACGUAGUCCCUGAGCGGGCUGGCAAGGCGCAU
rnacentral:rRNA from 1 species